CGCCGGUGUAGCUCAGUUGGUAGAGCAGUGGACUGAAAAUCCUCGUGUCGGUGGUUCGAUUCCGCCCCUGGCCACCA
rnacentral:tRNA from 1 species